rnacentral:rRNA from 1 species
UACGUAGGGGGCAAGCGUUGUCCGGAAUCAUUGGGCGUAAAGCGCGCGCAGGCGGCUUCUUAAGUCUGAUGUGAAAUCUCGGGGCUCAACCCCGAGCGGCCAUUGGAAACUGGGAAGCUUGAGUGCAGAAGAGGAGAGUGGAAUUCCACGUGUAGCGGUGAAAUGCGUAGAUAUGUGGAGGAACACCAGUGGCGAAGGCGACUCUCUGGUCUGUAACUGACGCUGAGGCGCGAAAGCGUGGGGAGCAAACAGG